ACGUGACUCUAAGCGCUGACAGUGUUCAAUGUCGCUCGUCUAGUCAUGGAGUUUGGCGAACAAAAGGCUUUUGCAGAAGCAAAGUCCGACUCGUCUCGGACGCCUGGAAGUCUUGACGCGACGCCAGAAACCGACUGCAAGAGUACCACAAAAGAGGGUGUUGGUUACGAGGUGAAAGACGGUGGUGCACAGUUCGCCAGAGGUCAUGAGAUGAUGGACCCGACUUGCGAGUCUGGCACGGACCUGCCCACUGUGACAAGUGCUCCAACUAGUGAUGGGUCUCCUGGAGAUUUUUCAGCGGGGAAUACUGGCAAAACCUCAGAUGUUGCAACAACAGAGACCACUGCUUCUGCUCAAACUGGCACAGAAGCCUCGGCUAAAGAAAUGGUCGAGAGUUCAAAUAAAGGCACAGGGCUCGAUUCCUGUAAAAACGUGCCGGAGGAGUCAACCCUGAACUCGCAGGAAGGAUCACCCAGAUGUACUGAAAUGGAUGCCGUUACCCGGGCUGAACAAAAGCCAUCGUCAUCAGUAAAUGAUGGGUCAAAUGAUUCAUCAUUGAAAUGUGUUUCCAAGUCGGCUGGAAUGCAAGAUCCUACGGUGAGGACGUUUAGUGACGCAUCUCACGCUGAAGGGGAGAUUGAUGUUAAGCUGAGCAAGCAAGAGAACCUUAAUGUUGAGCUUGCUAUUGGACCUACAAAAAAUGAAGGAAUACAUACUCAGCUGUCCGUAACAAAUUCUGCAAUUUCUGAAGAUGAUUCUUCGAAAGGCACUUUUGAACCAAGUUCUGCUAUAGCAGCUCGCUUGAAGGAAAGCAAUAUGACACUGACUCAAAGGGAUGAAGUUGCAAGUGUGGAUGUUUUUGAAGACAGCGGUGAUAGUCGGCCAAAAGUUGAACUGGUUUUAUGCUCUUCACCAGCAGUGCCUUCCAACAGUACCACUGUAGAGAUAGCACCAUCGAAACUGCCUACGAGCUGUUCAAAUGUUGUUUCUUCCGAGCGAGAUCUGACAGUUGACUCUACUGUGAACAAAAAACAGCCCUCUGAAAAAGUGGAUAGUAGUGAUUGUGGAGUCACCUCUGAAGGAGGAGUUGGUGUGGUGAAAGACGGUGGUGCACAGUUCGCCAGAGGUCAUGAGAUGAUGGACCGGACUUGUGAGUCGGGCACGGACCUGCCCACUGUGACAAGUGCUCCAACUAGUGAUGGGUUUCCUGGAGAUUUUUCAACGGGGAAUACUGGCAAAACCUCAGAUGUUGCAACAACAGAGACCACUGCUUCUGCUCAAACUGGCACAGAAGCCUCUGCUAAAGAAAUGGUCGAGAGUUCGCAUAAACACACAGGGCUCGAUUCCUGUAAAAACGUGCAGGAGGAGUCAACCCUGAGCUCGCAGGAAGGAUCACCCAGAUGUACUGAAAUGGAUGCCGUUACCCGGGCUGAACAAAAGCCAUCGUCAUCAGUAAAUGAUGGGUCAAAUGAUUCAUCAUUGAAAUGUGUUUCCAAGUCGGCUGGAAUGCAAGAUCCUACGGUGACGUUUAGUGACACAUCUCAUGCUAAAGGGGAUAUUGGUGUUACGCUGAGCAAGCAAGAGAACCUUAAUGUUGAGCUUGCUAUUGGACCUACAAAAAAUGAAGGAAUACGUACUCAGCUGUCCGUAACAAAUUCUGCAAUUUCUGGAGAUGAUUCUUCGAAAGGCACUUUUGAACAAAGUUCUGCUAUAGCAGCUCGCUUGAAGGAAAGCAAUAUGACACUGACUCAAAGGGAUGAAGUUGCAAGUGUGGAUGUUUCUGAAGACAGGGGUGAUAGUCGGCCAAAAGUUGAAACUGGUUCUAUGCUCUUCACCAGCAGUGCCUCCCAACAGUACCACUGUAGAGAUAGCACCUUCGAAACUGCCUACGAGCUGUUCGAGCUAUUCAAAUGUUGUUUCAUCCGAGCGAGAUCUGACACUGGACUCUACUGUGAACAAAACACAGCCCUCUGAAGAAGUGGAUAGUAGUGAUUGUGGAGUCACCUCUGAAGGAGGAGUUGGUGUGGAGGAUGGAGAAGUCUCAAGUACCGUCUCUACUAAGGCCGGCACUGGCACCGAUGUGGAAGGUGGUCAUGGCGUCACUGCUGGCUCGUUAGACAGUCCAGGCUGCAUGGAACCUGGCUCCGAUCGAGAGGACUUUGAUGAAGAAAUUGAAUUGCAUCCACGAUUACACAGGGCUGACCUAGAUGAUGAUAGCGGCAUUAACAAUAGCACAUGUGGCCUGGAAGAUGAGCUGGAGGAUGGUCUUGAUGAGGAAGAUGAUGAUGGGGAUUGUCUCAA
rnacentral:misc_RNA from 1 species